CAGUCGAACGAACUCUGGUAUUGAUUGGUGCUUGCUCAUGAUUUACAUUUGAGUGAGUGGCGAACUGGUGAGUAACACGUGGGAAACCUGCCCAGAAGCGGGGGAUAACACCUGGAAACAGAUGCUAAUACCGCAUAACAACUUGGACCGCAUGGUCCGAGCUUGAAAGAUGGCUUCGGCUAUCACUUUUGGAUGGUCCCGCGGCGUAUUAGCUAGAUGGUGGGGUAACGGCUCACCAUGGCAAUGAUACGUAGCCGACCUGAGAGGGUAAUCGGCCACAUUGGGACUGAGACACGGCCCAAACUCCUACGGGAGGCAGCAGUAGGGAAUCUUCCACAAUGGACGAAAGUCUGAUGGAGCAACGCCGCGUGAGUGAAGAAGGGUUUCGGCUCGUAAAACUCUGUUGUUAAAGAAGAACAUAUCUGAGAGUAACUGUUCAGGUAUUGACGGUAUUUAACCAGAAAGCCACGGCUAACUACGUGCCAGCAGCCGCGGUAAUACGUAGGUGGCAAGCGUUGUCCGGAUUUAUUGGGCGUAAAGCGAGCGCAGGCGGUUUUUUAAGUCUGAUGUGAAAGCCUUCGGCUCAACCGAAGAAGUGCAUCGGAAACUGGGAAACUUGAGUGCAGAAGAGGACAGUGGAACUCCAUGUGUAGCGGUGAAAUGCGUAGAUAUAUGGAAGAACACCAGUGGCGAAGGCGGCUGUCUGGUCUGUAACUGACGCUGAGGCUCGAAAGUAUGGGUAGCAAACAGGAUUAGAUACCCUGGUAGUCCAUACCGUAAACGAUGAAUGCUAAGUGUUGGAGGGUUUCCGCCCUUCAGUGCUGCAGCUAACGCAUUAAGCAUUCCGCCUGGGGAGUACGGCCGCAAGGCUGAAACUCAAAGGAAUUGACGGGGGCCCGCACAAGCGGUGGAGCAUGUGGUUUAAUUCGAAGCUACGCGAAGAACCUUACCAGGUCUUGACAUACUAUGCAAAUCUAAGAGAUUAGACGUUCCCUUCGGGGACAUGGAUACAGGUGGUGCAUGGUUGUCGUCAGCUCGUGUCGUGAGAUGUUGGGUUAAGUCCCGCAACGAGCGCAACCCUUAUUAUCAGUUGCCAGCAUUAAGUUGGGCACUCUGGUGAGACUGCCGGUGACAAACCGGAGGAAGGUGGGGAUGACGUCAAAUCAUCAUGCCCCUUAUGACCUGGGCUACACACGUGCUACAAUGGAUGGUACAACGAGUUGCGAACUCGCGAGAGUAAGCUAAUCUCUUAAAGCCAUUCUCAGUUCGGAUUGUAGGCUGCAACUCGCCUACAUGAAGUCGGAAUCGCUAGUAAUCGCGGAUCAGCAUGCCGCGGUGAAUACGUUCCCGGGCCUUGUACACACCGCCCGUCACACCAUGAGAGUUUGUAACACCCAAAGUCGGUGGGGUAACCUUUUAGGAACCAGCCG
rnacentral:rRNA from 1 species